UUUUUUUUUUUUUUUUUUUUUUUUUUUUUUUUUUUUUUUUUUUUUCG
rnacentral:ribozyme from 1 species